AUAUAUUUUGCAGGUUCUACUACAGCAAAGCAGCAAGUUGCUACAUGUCUCUUGUAACUGUGGGUACAGAGGAAUUUACAAUCUUGGAAGAUGCUGUUGGAUUUGAAUCACCUGUCUCUAGGGAAGGAAGCCAGUUAAAAAACAGUGGCUCUUGAUUCAUCUUUCACACAAAUAUUAUGAUGUUACUCCAGGGUCCUAGGAUGAAUAAUAUCAAAUAAACCUCCAAGAUUUUAAGAUGCUUUUGUGUGAGGAUAGAUAAGAUUUGAGGUGUGUGCCAUAGCUGAUGAUGUGCAUGAUGACGUGCCACGUAAUAGAAGCUGGGUUUAAAGUUUCUUCUGUUGCUGACAUUGGACUGCCUACUGAGCAAUGUGGAGCUGGCUCUAUGUGUUAGC